rnacentral:lncRNA from 10 species
AGAUUUCUGUCUGCCUCUCAUUGGCAAACAUGACAUUUCAGCAAUUUCUCUAAAGAGGAAUGACUGGGGGAUUUUUUGUUCAUUCUGAAAAUCACAUCGCCAGAUCCAACACCUUUUUAUCCCAAUCACCAGUACAAGCCACCCGUAUCAGUGUACACUGUGGCUGACCGAUCCAUAGUGAUGCUUUGAGCACAAGGAAGGACUUUCUGGAAUCUACUUAUCUGACCAAGAAAGCUUCUUUCCAAAAGAAAUGCAAUUGUCUUGAGACUUCUUCCCUAGGGAUCUGAUCAACUAACCAGAAAAGAGCAACCACCAGAGAAGAGACUGUGGGUGUCAUUGUGACUGGCUGCUACCUCCCCAUGAGUCUUCUAAAAUAAAACCUGCAAAUUCACAUCUUCCCCAUGCUUCCAGAGAAUGCAUAUUCUUCCUUUGAAAAAAGAAAACCAGAUUGAAGCCACAAAAUCCACAGCACACAAAGACCCUGCUACCAUGUAUUCACUUCAGUGAAAGGGAAGCACCGAAAUGCUGAGUGGGGGCAGGUACAGAUACUUCAAUCACUGCUGAUGG